GGCACUUUGGCGGAGUGGUUAACGCGUUGGCCUGCUAAGCCAAUUCCCUCGGGAGCGAGUGUAAGCUGGUGUGUGUCC
rnacentral:tRNA from 1 species